rnacentral:rRNA from 1 species
AACCAGCACCUCAAGUGGUCAGGAUGAUUAUUGAGCCUAAAGCAUCCGUAGCCGGCUCUGUAAGUUUUCGGUUAAAUCUGUACGCUUAACGUACAGGCUGCCGGGAAUACUGCAGAGCCAGGUAGUGGGAGAGGUAGACGGUACUCGGUAGGAAGGGGUAAAAUCCUUUGAUCUAUUGAUGACCACCUGUGGCGAAGGCGGUCUACCAGAACACGUACGACGGUGAGGGAUGAAAGCUGGGGGAGCAAACCGGAUUAGAUACCCGGGUAGUCCCAGCUGUAAACUAUGCAAACUCAGUGAUGCAUUGGCUUGUGGCCAAUGCAGUGCUGCAGGGAAGCCGUUAAGUUUGCCGCCUGGGAAGUACGUACGCAAGUAUGAAACUUAAAGGAAUUGGCGGGGGAGCACCACAAGGGGUGAAGCCUGCGGUUCAAUUGGAGUCAACGCCAGAAAUCUUACCCGGAGAGACAGCAGAAUGAAGGUCAAGCUGAAGACUUUACCAGACAAGCUGAGAGGUGGUGCAUGGCCGUCGCCAGCUCGUGCCGUGAGAUGUCCUGUUAAGUCAGGUAACGAGCGAGAUCCCUGCCUCUAGUUGCCACCAUUACUCUCAGGAGUAGUGGGGCGAAUUAGCGGGACCGCCGCAGUUAAUGCGGAGGAAGGAAGGGGCCACGGCAGGUCAGUAUGCCCCGAAACUCUGGGGCCACACGCGGGCUGCAAUGGUAACGACAAUGGGUUUCGAAUUCGAAAGGAUGAGGUAAUCCUCAAACGUUACCACAGUUAUGACUGGGGGCUGCAACUCGCCCUCACGAAUAUGGAAUCCCUAGUAACUGCGUGUCACUAUCGCGCGGUGAAUACGUCCCUGCUCCU